rnacentral:rRNA from 1 species
UUACGGGAGGCAGCAGUGAGGAAUAUUGGACAAUGGGCGCAAGCCUGAUCCAGCCAUGCCGCGUGCAGGAAGACGGUCCUAUGGACUGUAAACUGCUUUUGUACGGGAAGAAACACCCCCUCGUGAGGGGAUUUGACGGUACCGUAAGAAUAAGGAUCGGCUAACUCCGUGCCAGCAGCCGCGGUAAUACGGAGGAUCCAAGCGUUAUCCGGAAUCAUUGGGUUUAAAGGGUCCGUAGGCGGUUUAAUAAGUCAGUGGUGAAAUCUGGUCGCUCAACGAUCAAACGGCCAUUGAUACUGUUAGACUUGAAUUACAAGGAAGUAACUAGAAUAUGUAGUGUAGCGGUGAAAUGCUUAGAUAUUACAUGGAAUACCAAUUGCGAAGGCAGGUUACUACUUGUGGAUUGACGCUGAUGGACGAAAGCGUGGGGAGCGAACAGGAUUAGAUACCCGUGUAC